rnacentral:rRNA from 1 species
GAUUUAGGUCUCGUUGGUGACAGCGGAGGGAUCAUUAUCGAAGUUACUCUUCAUACCCAUUUGUGAACACUACCCCAUUGCCGCACGUUGCCUCGGCGGUGAGGUCCGCGGGGGGUGGGCUGCCCUCCGGCGAUUGCCCCCCCUCCCCGGGCCCCCGCCGGCCCCGCCUUACUCUUAAUUUGCAAAGCGGACUGUACGAUCUGAUUAAUCUUGAUAAACAAGUCAAAACUUUCAACAACGGAUCUCUUGGUUCUGGCAUCGCCCAAGAACGCAGCGAAAUGCGAUAAGUAAUGUGAAUUGCAGAAUUCAGUGAAUCAUCGAAUCUUUGAACGCACAUUGCGAGGGCCAGCAAUCUGCCCGGCAUGCCUGUCCGAGCGUCAUUUCUCCCCUCGAGCGCGGUUGGCCCCUAGCGGGCCGGCCGCCGCCCGGUGUUGGGGCACUGCGGGCCACAGCGCCCGCAGGCCCUUAAAUGAAGUGGCGGUCCCGCCGCGCCGCCCCCUGCGUAGUAGUAAAGCACCUCGCAUCGGGUCCCGGCGAAGACCAGCCGUCGAACCUAUCUCUUGAUGGUUUGACCUCGGAUCAGGUAGGGAUACCCGCUGAACUUAAGCAUAUCAAAA